rnacentral:rRNA from 1 species
AUUGAACGCUGGCGGCAUGCCUUACACAUGCAAGUCGAACGGCAGCACGGGAGCAAUCCUGGUGGCGAGUGGCGAACGGGUGAGUAAUAUAUCGGAACGUGCCCAGUCGUGGGGAUAACGUAGCGAAAGCUACGCUAAUACCGCAUACGAUCUAUGGAUGAAAGCGGGGGAUCGCAAGACCUCGCGCGAUUGGAGCGGCCGAUAUCAGAUUAGGUAGUUGGUGAGGUAAGGCUCACCAAGCCGACGAUCUGUAGCUGGUCAGAGAGGACGACCAGCCACACUGGGACUGAGACACGGCCCAGACUCCUACGGGAGCAGCAGUGGGAAUUUUGGACAAUGGGCGCAAGCCUGAUCCAGCAAUGCCGCGUGCAGGAUGAAGGCC